ensembl:snoRNA
AUCACUUUGUAGUUCAUGAGUGUGCUGAUUGGUGUUCAUGCACAUAUGUAAGAUGUGCCACCCUUGAACGUUAUUACAGCAUUGGCACAUGACCUGUUUGACA